GCAGUGUUUGGAAUAGAUCCAGAUCCCAGAACUUCUCUAUCUAUUGUAUUUCAGAGAGGAUUCCCAAACACAUGGCAGAAGAGCUGUUUGAGAUGCACAGCGUCAGAAUGGGACAGAGCUACUGCAGCAAACCAGGUUUUGUACUUGAGAAAGGAAUGAGUGAAAUGCAGAUCAUUUAUUUGCCUUUCCAAUGGUGCAGGAAAUCCUUGUCAGUGAACAUCUGGAAAAAACACAGUAGAUUUACAGAGAGAACUAAAGAAGAAAGCUUCAACAUCAAGGCAACCGACUCUGAAAGAGAGCAGUGA
rnacentral:lncRNA from 1 species